UACGUAGGGUGCGAGCGUUGUCCGGAAUUAUUGGGCGUAAAGAGCUCGUAGGCGGUUUGUCGCGUCUGCCGUGAAAGUCCGGGGCUCAACUCCGGAUCUGCGGUGGGUACGGGCAGACUAGAGUGAUGUAGGGGAGACUGGAAUUCCUGGUGUAGCGGUGAAAUGCGCAGAUAUCAGGAGGAACACCGAUGGCGAAGGCAGGUCUCUGGGCACUUACUGACGCUGAGAAGCGAAAGCGUGGGGAGCGAACAGG
rnacentral:rRNA from 1 species